rnacentral:tRNA from 1 species
GUUUUAUUAGUUUAUUUAAAACAUUAAAUUGCAAAUUUAAAAAAGAAAUAUUCAUUUAACU